GACGUAGGGGGCGAGCGUUGUCCGGAUUUAUUGGGCGUAAAGCGUGCGUAGGCGGCUGCGCAAGUCGGUUGUGAAACCCCGGGGCUCAACCCCGGAACUGCAUCCGAUACUGCGUGGCUAGAGGUAGGUAGGGGAGAUCGGAAUUCCUGGUGUAGCGGUGAAAUGCGCAGAUAUCAGGAGGAACACCGGUGGCGAAGGCGGAUCUCUGGGCCGGUACUGACGCUGAGACGCGAAAGCGUGGGGAGCGAACAGG
rnacentral:rRNA from 1 species